ACCGUUUUAUUUUUAAAAUAUACCGUAAAUAUACUGACGAAUUAUUAAAGUUCCAUCAUACAUAUUCCUGAUUUUUGAUAUUCCGUCGAACAUUACUAGGUAGAUAGCACAUUUAGCUAUGCCCACAUAAUUUUAUUCAAUUAAUGAACCUAUUUUCUACUUGACUAGCUUAUUUUAAAUACUCCCUUUUAUUGGAUUGUGUCUAAAAUAAGGUUUAAAACGUAAGUGUGUAUGGAAUGUUACGUCAUUGCUGGUCAACAGGUAUCCGCUCUGACAUCUCUAUACCCCACUUCAUUUGAUUUAUAUACAAAUUCUGUUUUUCAAGCUGAUUUCGUUACCUUUACUCAUCCUUGGCCUUCGUAAGCCACCUUGAACUGCAAACGCUUGUUGAAAUAGCUUUCUGGCAGAGGUCAGUCUCUUAUAGUCUUAUAGAGGUAUGCGGAAAUAAAUGUGUAUCAAUAAGUAUUGCAUAUAUAUCUUUGCCCACAUAUUUUCUGUAUGAUUUUCUCCACUACAUGGUAGUGGUAAUGUAUCAUGGCUUGUGGUGCCACUGAUCAAUCGACCCUCGGACACGCUCACUUGGACAGUGGGCUUCACCAGAGAACUUUUAUUUGCAUUUGUGGAGACAUCAGGCAGCUGUGAAUGGCAUAUAUUAGAUAGAUAUACUCCUCCACGCCUCGCUGGAGCUGACUCCUUUAUAAAUUUGGUUUGAGUGGGGUGGGAGUGGUCCCCCAAAGAAAGUUCGAAGAAAAACCAUAAAUUAUGUCAAAAAUAUAACGAAAUCCCAUAAUUAA